UACGGGGGGGGCAAGCGUUGUUCGGAAUUACUGGGCGUAAAGGGCGCGUAGGCGGCCAACUAAGUCAGACGUGAAAUCCCUCGGCUUAACCGGGGAACUGCGUCUGAUACUGGAUGGCUUGAGUUUGGGAGAGGGAUGCGGAAUUCCAGGUGUAGCGGUGAAAUGCGUAGAUAUCUGGAGGAACACCGGUGGCGAAGGCGGCAUCCUGGACCAACACUGACACUGAUGAGCGAAAGCCAGGGGAGCAAACGGG
rnacentral:rRNA from 1 species